CAUUUUAAGCGUUUUCUGAUCAUGUAGGUAAGUGCUUUGAUUAACUUUAGACGUGAUGCAUGCUGGGUGGCAAAUAUUUUUUAUCAAAGGCUCGUUGAUGGUAAUAAAUAUACAUAUAAAUAUACAUUUUACUAUAAUACGAUUGUGUUCGAUUAAUUAAUGGGUUGUUUAAUUAUUAAUUUGUUUAUUUUAAAUCCUGUAAUUUAACAACUCUGACGUCAUCGAAUGCGACGAUGCCAAGGUCCAUUGUGAUUUCCACUCGGUAAGUUGAUGGAGAUAAUUCUUACAUUUACACAGCAAAGAAAUGUUUAAUCGUGACAAUAAGUUGUGUUUGGAACAUUCUAAUGUAUAAGGUAGCAAUCUUAGGAUGGUAAAUAAUAUAAGUCAUUAAACAAAUAACUUUGUUGCACCACAUAUGCAUAGGCUAAUAGCAAAAGUAGCUAAUUAAACUAUUUUUUGUCGCAAAUAAGUUGAUAAUGCAAGAUACAGGGAAAUGCAAGAUUUUCAGUAGCGAUAUGUUACCUAUAUUACACUAGCUCGCAACAAUUAAGCCUCUUUUAGCCAACAUGAUCAGAUGAAGAACAGUGUUGCCAGAUUGGUUUGUUUUCCAGCCCAGUAAUUACUUAAAAUCCACACAAAAUUAUACAAUAAACUCCCAGAAUGAUCUAUAAUAAACAAUACAACUUAAUUCAGACCAGCACUACUUUUGUGGCUUGUCAUGUUUUAAUAUGAAAUAAUGAAUUAUUUAAGUGCUCUUUCAGAUAUUAUAUAGGAGCCUACGAUAGACACUGCGAAUGUAAAAUUAUUUUCCAUUUCUGUACUUUCCCUUAAAAUAGCAAAAUUUCACCUGCCCAAGCCCAUUUUAAUACACAUAGUACAACCCAGAACCAACUAAAUGGGUGGAAAACAUUCUGCCUGACAAGACUGAUGGAGAAUACUGGUGAAAAUGUAAUGCUCUUUAUCUCCUACAGCACACACACACACACACACACACUGGGGGAAAUCUGUCCUUAAAAGCAAAUGCUGGUCGUAUGAUCUGUAUCCACACAUCCAUCCAGUAAAACCUUUCAUAGAAACUGCCAGUAAACAAUAAAUACGAUAAUUGUUUAUAAACAAAUAAUAUUAUGCUCAUAAAAAUAUACCAAUUUAGCUGUUUUAUUUAUUCUGCUAUAUAUUAUUACAAAAAUGUGAUUACAGUACAGAAUAUAUAUGACAUAAACUGCUUCACGUUCACAAGGUCACGUUCUUUCUGAUCCCAUUUUUAAACCCUAGUUAGUGUGUAAUGUUGCUUUCAUAGCAUAAAUAAUACCUGUAAAAUGAUAAAGCUGAAAGUUCACUGCCAGUCGAUUUAUUUUCUUUAACAGAAUUCGCCUUUCAAAGCCUACAGCGAACGGCCGGUUUGGACUUCAGCCCUCUACUUUCUGCUUUAAUGAUGUCACUAGAACAGUUUUUUGACUAAACUCCGCCCACAGGAAUACAUCAGUGGCCAGCUAAGCUAACGGCAAGCUAAUCUGCUAUUGAAUCACAACACACUAAACAAACUACACAAUCAGAACUCGUUACUUAUUUCUGAAGGAGGUACUUCACAUAACAAGGAAGACUUCAGCCCAUUUUUAGGACAGUGAAAACAGCGCUAUAGAGAUAAGUAAAUUAUGUGAAAAAUACAGCGUUUUUUUUGAACGUGAAACAUGAACACGUUAUAUUGCGCACUAUAAACACAAUCAAAGCUUUAAAAACACAGAAAGAACGGGAGCUUUAAUGUUCAUAACAGUUCUAAUUGUGUUUGUCCGUUCUUUUGUUAUGUUUUAAAUUAAAAAGCAAAUAAUUUUAAAAUAAGCAAAUAAUUCCAACUCAUAUCUCUCAUCUUACCUCCUUGGUACCAUCUAGUGCGUAAGAAACAAUGUAAUCAUAUUUUCAUAAAACGAAAACAAUAUAAAAAAUAGUUUAAUAUGUUUAUUAUGGUUUGAUAAAAUAACUUACAAUGUGUUGUAUGAGAAAGAUACUGCUGACUGUCAGACCACAUGAAGCAUGAUGUAUCGCCAUAAAAACUAAAAUUGAAUUUUUUAUUAAAAAUUGUUGUUUAAAAAAACACCAGAGGGACAAUUUAGACCAUUGCCUGAAAAGGUUAAAAACACAAAGUCUUCUUGAUAUAUUCCAUGUACAAACUCUCGACUGACUUUCCCAUUGUAAAGAUACUGGUAUGUCCCUGUGCUUUUAUAGUUGCACACUGAAGACACGUCACCCCCGAUUAACAACACAAAAUCACUGAAUAUAUCUACAUAUGAUAUAUCAAAACACUUUAAUCCUCACACUGGUUCAUACAUGGCAGGUGUAGUAAAUAUUUACAAUUACUGUUAAAAUCAUGUUUUAUGUGUGCUUCCACGAUACUGUUUUCUACCGGCUGGUUAUUGAAACGGAGGUCUUGCACAAAGAAGGGAAAUACGUCAAAUCACUUACGUCCACAUUCAAAAAUAAGGUGGAUACAGUUCAAGACUAAUAUUUCUUUUAAUCUUUUAUGGUAACACCUCAUUUACUUGUUCAUUUCAGCUGCGAGCCAAGCCAAUUUUAUUUAUUGGGAAACAGGAUAAAAAGGCUUCGAAUAAGUGGGUUGCAUAUAUUAUUACCCAUUGGCACCCCACUCCUGUCACUACAAUUUUUUGGAGGAGAUGCGGAGGGCUUUAUCUUGACAAAAGCAACCUCCACAGGACAGCAGCCUGAGAGCCUUGCCAUGGAGCGGCCUGAGAGCCCUGCUGUGAAAUGGCCGGAGAACCUCACCAAGAAGUCUGAGGCUAUAUUUGUACUAAAUCUUGUUCUUCUGUCUUCUAGACUCUUUCCAACCUCUCUUGCUCCUACUACCUCUACUGCUUUUACAACAAUUUUCUCUCCACUUUUUUUCCCCACCUCCACUGCCAUGCUCUAAGUUUUUGCCACAGAGGAAGAGGAAGAUAAAGAAAUCUACCUCUUCCCACUAUACCACACUUGUCUCUCUUCAAUUUGCAUCUGUCUCUUCCAGUUCUAAAUCUCAGAAGUGGCCACUGGUGAAGAACAGAAUGAAGGAUAACUUUUCCUGUUACAUCUUACUCCACAAUUUGCUCCUAGUCAAAUAUGUCUUCAUGUUAAUUAAAUUCAUUUAGCUAACCAGGUAUUUGUUAGCCAGUUCACAGUGUUUUAGAGCCCAAUGUCCAAGGACUGUGGUCAAUGUAAAUUCCUGACUUAAAGGGACACUUCACUUUUUUUUGCUAAUUUUCCAGCAGUAAUUUUUACCGUUUUAGAAUCCAUUCAGCUGAUCUCCGCGUCUGGCACUACCACUUUUAGCAUAGCUUAGCAUAAUACAUUGAAUCUGAUUAGGCCAUUAGCAUCGCGCCAAAAAAUAACCAAAGAGUUUCGAUAUUUUUCCUAUUUAAAACUUGACUCUUCUGUAGUGACAUCGUGUACUAAGACAGACGGAAAAUUAAAAGUUGUGAUUUUCUCAGCUGAUAUUUCUAGGAACUAUACUCUUAUUCUGUCGUAAUAAUCAAGGACUUUGCUGUCGUAACAUGGCUGCAGAAGGCAUAAUGAUAUAACGCAGUGCCCGAAAAUAGUCCCCUUAGUAUCUUUCAAUAGCAGGGGACUUUUUUCGGGCACUGCGUAAUAUCAUUUUGGUUGAUUGACAAAAACAAGCACAAAUUUGUUUGACACUAAUGGAAAGGACUGCAUAUCACUUCACAUAAAUAUGGACUCAUGUGAUUCACCUACAAAGCAUGGCAUUCAUGGCUUAAUAAACUUUUUGUCUUUUCAUCAUUUCAGGUUGCUGAAAAUGUAGAUGGCAGAAGGUUUCCUUUUCGAUAAAAUAACUGAGGAACAGAUAAAUGAGAGGAAAGCCGAAUUGAAAGUUCACUGGUUACGUGCUCUGUGUGUGGAAAAACCUGGGAUGACACAUAGGAGCCUGCCAGCGAAUUCCAACACAAGUCCCCACAUCCCAACCAGUUUUCAGCAUGACAGCCUACACCUUUACAUUAUCAAGCACCCUUCAACUGUUUAAUUUUGAGUGUCUUUGCUUGCUGUUCUUUAUUAAAGUUUUUGCACAGUA